rnacentral:tRNA from 1 species
UCCCUGGUGGCUCAGACGGUAAAGCAUCUGUCUAUCAUGCAGCAGACCCGGGUUCGAUCCCUGGGUUGGGAA